rnacentral:lncRNA from 1 species
AAAGAGGUCCAUCACCCUUUCUCUCUCCUUAUACCUAAAAACGUGGUGCAAAACCAAUUUCAAGCUGUACAGGAUAUGAAGCAAGUGCUAAUGGAUUAACGGAAACUCUAGCCUAUUUUUACAAGGAGAUUUGGUUAUCUUUUUAGUUUGAAUAAGUUGGUGUUACUAUUAUUUGAUGCGAUAGUUGAAAGCUUGUAGGAAAAUGGCUAGACUAGAGGCUUGCCUUAAUAGACCAUUAUCAACAAAAACACAGUGAAGCCUGUCCCCGAUAGCCUUGUGUACCAAUUUAGCUGCAACUGUGGAAUCAACACCACCAGAUAAAGCACAGAUCACAUGAUCUCCAGGUCCAACCAUGCCUUUGAUAACUUUUAUUUCUUCCUCCAGAACAUCUUCCAUUUUCCAGCCAGCUGUAACCCCACAUACAUCAAACAAGAAUCACGUGAUCUUCAGGUCCAACCAUGCCUUUGAUAACUUUUAUUUCUUCCUCCAGAACAUCUUCCAUCUUCCAGCCAGCUGUAACCCCACAUACAUCAAACAGGAAGUGUCUUAAUGUUUUCAUCCCUUCAGUCGAGUGCGUCACCUGUACA